UACGUAGGGGGCAAGCGUUGUCCGGAUUUAUUGGGCGUAAAGCGCGUGUAGGCGGUCCGGUAGGUCCGCUGUGAAAGUCGGGGGCUUAACCCUCGGAUGCCGGUGGAUACUGUCGGGCUUGAGUACGGAAGAGGCGAGUGGAAUUCCUGGUGUAGCGGUGAAAUGCGCAGAUAUCAGGAGGAACACCAAUUGCGAAGGCAGCUCGCUGGGACGUUACUGACGCUGAGACGCGAAAGCGUGGGGAGCAAACAGG
rnacentral:rRNA from 1 species